GACGAACGCUGGCGGCGUGCUUAACACAUGCAAGUCGAACGGAAACGCCCUGCUGUUGUGGGGUGCUCGAGUGGCGAACGGGUGAGUAACACGUGAGUAACCUGCCCUUGACUUUGGGAUAACUUCAGGAAACUUGGGCUAAUACCGGAUCGGAGCUCCUGCUGCAUGGUGGGGGUUGGAAAGUUUCGGCGGUUGGGGAUGGACUCGCGGCUUAUCAGCUUGUUGGUGGGGUAGUGGCUUACCAAGGCUUUGACGGGUUGCCGGCCUGAGAGGGUGACCGGGCACAUUGGGCCUGAGAGACGGCCCAGACGGCUACGGGGGGCAGCAGUGGGGAAUAUUGCACAAUGGGCGGAAGCGUGAUGCGGCAACGCCGCGUGCGGGAUGACGGCCUUCGGGUUGUAAACCGCUUUCGCCUGUGACGAAGCGUGAGUGACGGUAAUGGGUAAAGAAGCACCGGCUAACUACGUG
rnacentral:rRNA from 1 species